AGGAGGUGGAGUUAAUCAGGAGCAUCCAGGCUCUGUUGAAGAGAACGCUGAGUCAGGCUGUCAAUCAAAUCAAGAACAGAACGUACAUAAACCAAAAAUCAACUCGCUGAUGGGACGUUCCAUUAUAAGGAGAGUGGCCAGCUCCAAGG